UCGUCUGUUUUGGUGAGUAAUUUGUACCCAUCCAGUCACAUUAAAACACAUUUCUUAUGUCUGCAUACACUGUAUCACAAUGCAAUCUUCCUAAAUAUGUAAUUCAUUAUUUAUUUUGACUUUAAUUUUCCCCCCCUGCUUAUUCUAAAUGUGAGCGUGUUAUGUUACUCUUUAUUGCAGCAGCAUUACGUUCAGCGGCGCACGUGCGCACGUGUUUCAAUAGAAACAAGUUUAAGAAACUGAGUGCAGGCCUGAAUACGGUCCAGCUCACGGGCAUCAUUUAUAAAGUGAUCAAUUGGAAUAGACGAGGAGCAGGGCAGGACUGGUAAUCUGCACUACCGGACAUUUUUCCGGUGGACCGACAAACUUUGGGGCCGAUCAGGGUGGACUGGCCAUCGGGAGAACCGAGCGGGUCGCUGUGUCGGCCGCGAUAAUCUAAAACGAGCCGCCGCGUUAGCGAACACUACCCCCCCAACAACUUUUUGACAGUUAUGUCAAAUCCCGGGCCGAUUUCUCUUUCCAGUCCAGCCCUGAAAAGGUGCACAUGGAUAUUUUUGAAGUUAAACAAGUACAAGCUUGCCCAGAGUUUUCUUAAGCCGUUUGGAGUGUGAUGCAG